GAUGAAGGAACGCAGCGAAAUGCGAUAAGUAAUGUGAAUUGCAGAAUUCAGUGAAUCAUCGAAUCUUUGAACGCACAUUGCGCCCGCCAGUAUUCUGGCGGGCAUGCCUGUUCGAGCGUCAUUACAACCCUCAGGCCCCCGGGCCUGGCGUUGGGGAUCGGCGGAGCCCCCCGUGGGCACACGCCGUCCCCCAAAUACAGUGGCGGUCCCGCCGCAGCUUCCAUCGCGUAGUAGCUAACACCUCGCGACUGGAGAGCGGCGCGGCCACGCCGUAAAACACCCAACUCUUCUGAAGUUGACCUCGAAUCAGGUAGGAAUACCCGCUGAACUUAAGCAUAUCAAUAAGCGGAGGA
rnacentral:misc_RNA from 1 species